rnacentral:rRNA from 1 species
UACGUAGGGGGCAGGCGUUGUCCGGAUUUAUUGGGCGUAAAGAGCGUGUAGGCGGCUUGACAGGUCUGCUGUGAAAACUCGAGGCUCAACCUCGAGAUGUCGGCGGAAACCGUCUGGCUAGAGUCCGGAAGAGGAGAGUGGAAUUCCUGGUGUAGCGGUGAAAUGCGCAGAUAUCAGGAAGAACACCUAUGGCGAAGGCAGCUCUCUGGGACGGUACUGACGCUGAGACGCGAAAGCGUGGGGAGCGAACAGG